rnacentral:rRNA from 1 species
GAUGAACGCUGGCGGCGUGCCUAAUACAUGCAAGUCGAGCGAAUGGAUUAAGAGCUUGCUCUUAUGAAGUUAGCGGCGGACGGGUGAGUAACACGUGGGUGACCUGCCCAUAAGACUGGGAUAACUCCGGGAAACCGGGGCUAAAACCGGAUAACAUUUUGAACCGCAUGGUUCGAAAUUGAAAGGCGGCUUCGGCUGUCACUUAUGGAUGGACCCGCGUCGCAUUAGCUAGUUGGUGAGGUAACGGCUCACCAAGGCAACGAUGCGUAGCCGACCGCGGAGGGUGAUCGGCAACAGUGGGACGGAGACACGGCCCAGACUCCGACGGGAGGCAGCAGUAGGGAAUCUUCCGCAAUGGACGAAAGUCUGACGGAGCAACGCCGCGUGAGUGAUGAAGGCUUUCGGGUCGUAAAACUCUGUUGUUAGGGAAGAACAAGUGCUAGUUGAAUAAGCUGGCACCUUGACGGUACCUAACCAGAAAGCCACGGCUAACUACGUGCCAGCAGCCGCCGUAA